CUACGGGUCGCUGCAGUGAGGAAUAUUGCACAAUGGGGGGAACCCUGAUGCAGCAACGCCGCGUGGAGGAUGACGCAUUUCGGUGUGUAAACUCCUUUUAUAUGUCAAGAAAAUGACGGUAGCAUAUGAAUAAGCACCGGCUAACUCCGUGCCAGCAGCCGCGGUAAUACGGAGGGUGCAAGCGUUACUCGGAAUCACUGGGCGUAAAGGACGCGUAGGCGGGUUGGAAAGUCAGGUGUGAAAUCCUACAGCUUAACUGUAGAACUGCACUUGAAACUUCUAAUCUUGAGCAUGGGAGGGGCGAUUGAAUUAGUGGUGUAGGGGUAAAAUCCGUAGAUAUCACUAGGAAUACCUAAAGCGAAGGCGAUCUCCUGGAACAUUACUGACGCUAAGGCGUGAAAGCGCGGGGAGCAAACACGAUUAGAUACUCUAGUAGUC
rnacentral:rRNA from 1 species